rnacentral:tRNA from 1 species
CAGAGAGUAGUUUAAUUUAAAAUGCCAGCUUUGGGAGUUGGUGAUAGAGGUUUGACCCCUUUUUCUCUGA